UUUGAAAAUAAUACAUGUGUGAAAUGUUCGUUUGGUUAUUCUGGUUUGGAAUGCAGUGAAAACUGGCAGCUCAUUCUGGUAAUUGUGGGCUCUGUUCUUGGGGGACUGCUGCUCAUAGCCCUCAUC